rnacentral:rRNA from 1 species
UACCUGCAGCUCGAGUGGUGAUCGUUACUAUUGGGCCUAAAACGUCCGUAGCCGGUCUUAUAAAUGCCUGGGUAAAUCGUAUGGCUUAACCAUACGAAUUCCGGGUAGACUGUUUGACUUGAGACCGGGAGAAGCUAGAGGUACUCCUUGGGUAGAGGUGAAAUUCUGUAAUCCUAGGGGGACCACCAGUGGCGAAGGCGUCUAGCUAGAACGGGUCUGACGGUGAGGGACGAAGCCCUGGGGCGCAAACGGGAUUAGAUACCCCGGUAGUCCAGGGUGUAAACGCUGCUUGCUUGAUGUUAGUCUGGCUCCGAGCCAGAUUAGUGUCGGAGAGAAGUUGUUAAGCAAGCUGCCUGGGAAGUACGGCCGCAAGACUGAAACUUAAAGGAAUUGGUGGGGGAGCACAGCAACGGGUGGAGCGUGCGGUUU